ensembl:lncRNA
AUGGAGUCCGAAGUGGCGAUUCCCUCUGCCCACGCAUUUGUCCAGAGGUGCCGACGCACCUGGACCAGGGCCAGAUUGACCCUUCUCCAGGUGGGGACACGCACCAAGGUUCAGGUCGAUCGCCACGGGUCGAAGCCUCCCUUCUACGUCGUAGGUCAAAAAGUGUGGCUUUCAUCUAAAAAUAUUCCUCUCCGAUCCAUCACUAAUAAGCUUGCUCCCAAAUUUAUUGAGGAGCGUCUCGCUGCAGCCUGCGGUGGACAUCCAACCCGGCCCACAUCCAAGUGUGACGUCACAGACUACGCCCAUGUCAAAAUACGUCACAUUCUCAAUCAUUUUGAAACAGGAAGAAGCAUCAAUAAGAAGAUAAUUUGUAUUGUUUGCCAACCGCUAAAAAAGAAGCUGUUGUUUGCCGUGUCGCAUUCUACACAUUUUCAGUCCAAGCCUGAUGCAGGGCAGUUCUGCCGGGUUAAGGGGUCCCUGCUGCAGUUUCACCAGUAAAGAAAAUUACUUGUUACAGUUCACUUGAAGGACCACAUAAGCCAUGCAGUGGUGCAUGGAGGUAUGGUGAGAGCAUUUCUUUAGAUAUUGAUUGAUUUUUGUGGUUUAAAAUCAUAAAUAUGUUUAUGUAGAAUGAUGAGGUAAAUAAUUUUUAGUGGACACAUAUACCCCCAACACGUAUGUAUUCUCUAUUUUUAACAGGAGCGCCAAGAGGACAUAAAGUGGAAGUUUGUAAGGGACAUUGGUCCAGCGUGGUACAGAGUCAUCGUGGGUUAUUCUGUGGGGAGGUGACAGGGCCUGCCGUUCUCCAGAUGGACAGUAAAAAUCAACAGAAUGCCAUCAAAGACUACCUGGAGGGAGAAUCGGAGGAUAUAUUAAAGCAAGGAAUCUCUCUGUGUAGUCUAUGUAUGUUUGUGUGUGUACUGCAUGUCAAGAACUGUUUAUCUGAUCAUUCAGCUGCUCAGACUUUAUAAUAUUUGGAGCAUACCUUUUGUUAAACACAACCAGUCAAGUUUUUGAACAGUGACAUUUUUUAAUGUUUUUAAAGAAAUAUCUUCUGCUCAUCAAGCCUGCAUUUAUUUAAUCCGAAGUACAGCAAAAACAGUCCAAUUUUAAAAUAUUUGUAUAAUAUUUUGCUUUUGUAAUAUAUUUUGCUAUUUAAAAUAACAAUUUUCUAUAUUUCUAUUAAAAUGAAAUUUAUUCCUGUGAUUUCAAAGGUGACUUACUCCAGGUACAUGAUCCUUCAUUCUAAUAUGCUGAUUUGAUGCUCAAAAAACAUUUUAUUAUUAUUAUGUUAAUACACUGAAGACUGGAGUAAUGAUGAAGAAACUUCAGCUUUGAUCACAGGAAUAAACUGCAUUUUAAAAUACAUUCAAAUAGAAAGCAGUUCUUUUAAAUUGUAAAAAUAUUUCACAUUACUGUUUUUGCUGUGUUUUGGAUCAAAUAAAUCCUGGCUUGGUGAGCAGAAGAGACUUUAAAAAAUAAUAAAAAUCUUACUGUUCAAAAACUGGUGGUGUAUAUUAUUAUUAUUAUUAUUAUGUAAAAUUGUACAUGUAAUUAUUUUUAUAAAAUAAUAAAUAUAAAAAUACCCAAUGAAACAAUUGAUGCCUUUUUCAUUCAUCUUUAAGUAUGUGGAGGACCUGGACAUGUUUCAUAUCAAGUUGUGAUGAACAAGGUCUGAAGGUCAAUGUCAUGUUACUUAUAUAAUCUAUCAAUGCAAUCUUUAUUCAGCCUAAGUAUGUGUAGCCUACUGCAUAUGGGGAACUGUUGAUUCUAUCAUUCAAAUGUUAACACUUUAUGAUAAGUGGAAUAAAUCUUUAGAAAAUUAAAUGACAAUUAUACAAUACCAACUUUUACAAUAAAUUUGCAUACUUUUACAAUACCAAAAUCUAAUUGUCCCCUUUAAAUUUGAUGCAUUUCAAUUUUGCCUUGGGUAGGUCAAAAUCGUUUUUUAAUAAAUGUGAAUUUAUCUCAUUACAUAAAUGAACAAGGUAAGGUUUAAAAGUUUUAAUUGACAUUUAGCCUACUUUAAUCAACAUAAGCGUUUUAGGAGCUGUUAUGAUGACGAAAUCAGCUCCGUAUAUUAGACAUAUUAAAUAUAUAUUAGAUUUAAGUUGUGCCAUUUUAGCCUAGACAUCCUUUACAAAAAUAAGAAAACGUGUAUUAGUAAAACGAAGGACAAUAUUAUUUUAUUUAGAUCCCAUUAACUUCCAUAAAUUGUUUCAACAUACUUCCGGGUUUCCAGGUACGGGGAUGGGGAAAUCACAUGAGGAGACGUAUUUGAUAUGGGCGUGGCUUUCGUUUACGUCACACUUGGACGUGGGCGGGGUUGUGUCGGGGAUGGGCGUGACUUCUGACGUCACACUUGGAUGUGGGCGGGGUUGGAUGUCCACCGCAGGCUGCAGCGAGCCCUACUUGAAUUUAUUGGUGCAUUUACUGUCACCAAGAUUAUUAGUCCGGUGGCAGUCCGCCUCAAACUCCCUCCGGCGUACAGGAGAAUUCAUCCGGUGUUUCAUGUAUCCAAAUUAAAGCCCGUUUUUAUUCACCCAUUAAUCCGCCGGUCCUGGUUCCCCCACUGGCGUGUCUUGUAGACGGGGAACCAGCUUAUUCAGUAAAACGUAUUCUGGAAUCGAGGCGGAGGGGAUGAGGAUUUCAAUACUUGGUGGACUGGGAAGGUUAUGGUCUGGAGGAGAGGAGUUGGGUGCCUGCUAGAGACAUAUUGGACAAAUCCCUUAUCGAUGAUUUCAAUCGCCAGGUAGGUUCUCCUGAGAACACCAGGAGGUGUUCCUAGGGGAGGGGGUACUAUCACGGUUCAUGGGUCUGUGUGUUCAUCUUGCGUCUCUGUCUGGUUUGUGUGCGUCUGUUAACUAGCUGCGGUCUAUCAAAGCACCAGCUGCAACUCAUUUGCACUGCCUGUAUGUUUGGCUGGCAUUCUGGUUGUGUUGUCAGUUCGUUAAUUCUUGUUCUGUCUCUCUGUCCAGUUCGUUGUUGCAGAUCUCGUCCAGUCUGUAUUUUUGGAUAUUCCUCGCCCACCUUGGAUUCACCUGCACUGGGUUGGAGAAUUACAGCGGCUUGAGCGGGCUGGACUUUAUUCCACUGAAGUUAUUAUCCGAUCGUCUUCCAACUCUUCUCACUGCUUGUUGUAUAUCAAAUAAACCCAUUUAAGCUCUUGCACUUGGAUCUCGAGGCUUGAUCAUUGUGACAAUAGGUCUCCUGUUAUUUUCUAAGCUUCUUAAACACAUCUAAGCAUUAGUCCCAGAAGUUGAAGCCACCAGAAGUUUAACCAUAAUAAUGCAAAGAUUAUAUGGGCAAACAAAUUUGUGAAUAGAUAUAAAAUACCCAACGAUGUUCCUGCAUAUUUACAUAUAUGUAUUAAAUGUUAUUAUAUAUGUAAAUAUUAAAAUUAAACAGUAAACAUUAAAAAUUAAACAUAUAUUGUUUUUAUGUAUGGUCACUACAUAUAAUAAUAAAAAAAUCAUAAUAUACAUAUAAAUACAAUCUUACUAUGUGUAUUUUGUAUGUUACAAACUUGUAUCUUCAUAUAUCCAAAAGGUAUGAUGUAUGUGAUAAAACAAUGGCUAAUGUGGAAAUAUCACUGUAGAUAAAGGACAGACUGUGUCAUAUUACAUUUGUUUAAUU